rnacentral:rRNA from 1 species
AUUGAACGCUGGCGGCAGGCCUAACACAUGCAAGUCGAGCGGAUGAAGGGAGCUGGCUCCUGGAUUCAGCGGCGGACGGGUGAGUAAUGCCUAGGAAUCUGCCUGGUAGUGGGGGAUAACGUCCGGAAACGGGCGCUAAUACCGCAUACGACCUGCGGGAGAAAGUGGGGGAUCUUCGGACCUCACGCUAUCAGAUGAGCCUAGGUCGGAUUAGCUAGUUGGUGGGGUAAAGGCCUACCAAGGCGACGAUCCGUAACUGGUCUGAGAGGAUGAUCAGUCACACUGGAACUGGGACACGGUCCAGACUCCUACGGGAGGCAGCAGUGGGGAAUAUUGGACAAUGGGCGAAAGCCUGAUCCAGCCAGGCCGCGUGUGUGAAGAAGGUCUUCGGAUUGUAAAGCACUUUAAGUUGGGAGGAAGGGCAGUAAGUUAAUACCUUGCUGUUUUGACGUUACCAAAAGAAUAAGCACCGGCUAACUUCGUG